rnacentral:rRNA from 1 species
UAUGAUAAGUAUUAAAUGGCUGCAGUAUUUUAACUGUACAAAGGUAGCAUAAUAAAUAGUUUCUUAAUUGGGNGCUUGUAUGAAAGGGUUUAUGAAUUAUAAUUUUUAUUUUAUUUAUUUUUAGAAUUUUAUUUCUAAGUAAAAAAGCUUAGUUUUUUUUUUGG